rnacentral:rRNA from 1 species
CCUACGGGAGGCAGCAGUGAGGAAUAUUGGUCAAUGGACGAGAGACUGAACCAGCCAAGCCGCGUGAAGGAUGACUGUCCUAAGGGUUGUAAACCUCUUUUAUAUGGGAACAAAGCAUGGUAUGCAUACCCUCAUGCAUGUACCUUAAGAAAAAGCAUCGGCUAACUCCGUGCCAGCAGCCGCGGUAAUACGGAGGAUGCGAGCGUUAUCCGGAUUUAUUGGGUUUAAAGGGUGCGCAGGCGGCGGGUUAAGUCAGCGGUAAAAUCCCGGGGCUCAACCCCGGCGCGCCGUUGAAACUGGCAGGCUAGAGUGGGCGAGAAGUAUGCGGAAUGCGCGGUGUAGCGGUGAAAUGCAUAGAUAUCGCGCAGAACUCCGAUUGCGAAGGCAGCAUGCCGGCGCCAAACUGACGCUGAGGCACGAAAGCGUGGGUAUCGAACAGGAUUAGAUACCCUUGUAGUC